rnacentral:rRNA from 1 species
UACGUAGGGUGCGAGCGUUGUCCGGAAUUAUUGGGCGUAAAGAGCUCGUAGGCGGUGUGUCGCGUCGGCCGUGAAAACCUGGGGCUCAACUCUGGGCGUGCGGUCGAUACGGGCAUCACUUGAGUUCGGCAGGGGAGACUGGAAUUCCCGGUGUAGCGGUGAAAUGCGCAGAUAUCAGGAGGAACACCGAUGGCGAAGGCAGGUCUCUGGGCCACUACUGACGCUGAGAAGCGAAAGCAUGGGGAGCGAACAGG